GCGGAGUGGUGGUUGGCGGCGGUGGGGGGCGGUGAGCCGGCGACGGUCGGCACCGCACGUCGAAGCGCCCGGCGUCCGCGGUCUGCCGCUCCCGGUGGAGCUCGGCGAGGUGGCGGAGGCGUUGCAGCCUAGGAGAGGAAGCGCUCGGUUGAGGCGGUGGACGGCGGAGUAGCGGCGGCCGUGGGGGCAGGUGCCGGCGCCACCGCCACCGCAGCCGGCUUAGGCGGAAGAGACGGCGGGCCUAACCUGCUACUGUCCCGUCCCCUUACGCGGUCACAAGCCAUUGACGCCAAGCUGGUUCCCCUUGGCCCUUGCCACUUCCACGCCGGCAGCAACAUCCCUGCUACUUGAGGCCAGGUACAGCUUCUUCUUUUUUUUUUUAGAGGUAAAUGGAUAGAAAUCCGGCCUCUAUGGAAUGGAAAUCAUGGCCAGGCAUUGCUAAUUUGGAUAUCUAUUUCAAUACCAACCAUAGUCUUUGGUUAUUAUCUUCUAUUAAAAGCCGGCUUAUGACCUUUUGGCUAAAACAAAUGGUUUAAUUGGUUUUUAAAAAUGCCAUUAUAAUUUGUGUAUUUGUAAACAUGUCACAUUCUUUUAGGUUUAUGAUUAACUUCAGAUAAAAGCAACCACAUGUGGAAUAGAAAUACAGUGUUUGCAAAUUUGUAAGCAAUACCUUGUCUGCAAUGUAACAUUUUUUAUAUAUAAAUACCAAUCAAUAAGAUUAAUAUUCACAAGCAUUCUUCACCACGCAGCAAACUCCACUGUUUUCCAUUAAAGAUUUAAAGUCAUAUAUCACAUCACUGAAAUUCAUUAUCAUAAGCAUUAAAUUGUAAAAACAUAGAAUUAUCUAUGCUGAAAUCAUGUAUAGUAAAGCUUGACCUCUUAGUCUAGCGUCCCUCCAGUGUUGUGGUACUCAUUGUAUUCACAGAGUACACACUUUCUUCUGUCGCUUCUUGUGUUCCGUGGUUCUUCAUUUCAAAAUACACAGGCUGCUUUGGUGCAGGAAGCAGCGUGCUUUCAUUUUCUAACAUAAAAACAACAGAUGACAUCGAUGGUCUAUCAUUCGGAUGAUCUUGAACACACAAGAGCCCAACGUGAAUACACCUGAAAGCUUCAUGAAGUGGAUAACUGUCAACAAAAAACUUGUCCAACAAUUCUGUUGCAUUUCCAUCUUUCCAUAAUCUCCAUGCCUGUAGAAUGAAGUUCUGACCAAAGUUACUAAUGCCUGUUGCUCCAAAAUACUGCUGACUGCUAAAGUUUAAUUUGGUAUCAAAAUUAUCGGCAUUUUAGAGUACUUACAUAGGCUGUAAGGCUGAAAAAGUUUGGUGUGAGUUUAGAUGAACUGAUUUUCAGGCCACUGACAAUCUCCAAAAGAAGAACACCAAAGCUGUAUGUAUCUGACUUGACCGAAAAGGCACCACCCAACACAUAUUCAGGAGACAUGUAACCACUGUAUAAACCAUUUCAUUAGCAAUGAAUGCACAAUCGUUGGCAAGGAUUAAUUCACAGUUUGAAUUUAACUAGUCAAUAAAACCUAGAGUGUUGAAAACUAUCUAGUGGGCUAAUUACUAGUUAUUACUUACUAUGUUCCAACAACUCGAGUGGUGUUUGCUUGCUGCUGAUUACCAUGAAAAAUCCUUGCAAUACCAAAGUCUGAUAUUUUGGGGUUCAUUUCUGUGUCCAACAAGAUGUUGCUUGCUUUGAGAUCUCUAUGAAUUAUUGUCAGUCUUGAAUCUUGGUGAAGAUAAAGAAGCCCUUUUGCUAUCCCUUUGAUUAUUUUGAACCUUGUUGGCCAAUCAAGCACAUAUUUUCUUGUAGCAUCUUUCAACAAGAUCAGUAUGUACAAAAUCUAAUGUUAGUCAUCAUAAAUAUAUUUUAGUCAAUGUAAGAACCUUUUUGCAAUGGGAUAGAAAGUCAUAACACACCAAAAAGGAAGGCGUCCAAGCUUUUGUUAGGCAAGUAUUCAUAGAUCAGUAACUUCUCAUCUUCAUGAAUGCAGCAACCAAGAAGUCUAACUAGGUUCCUGUGCUGCAGUUUUGCAAUUAGAACCACUUCAUUCCUAAACUCUUCAAUGCCUUGUCCAGAACCCUCAUUAAGCCUUUUGACAGCAACUUCCGUGCCUCCCUCCAAUAUUCCCUUCAUGUUGUCAUCAAUAUAAAUAGGGAAACGCUGGGGCAGUAAUAUUUUAUAUAGUUUCAAAACGUGUUAUGAUGUAGAUAAAUUUAGUACUCUUUCUUACCUUGUAAACUUUGCCAAAGCCUCCCCUUCCAAGUAGAUUGGACUCACAGAAAUUAUCUGUUGCAGCCACAAUAUCUCCAAAGCUAAUAAAUGGAAAUUUCACAUUUUCACCUCCAAGUUCAUUGGAGGUGCCCGGAUAUUCUAGCAUCAGUCUCUUUUGGAUUUCCUUGUUUUGUUUCCCUGAUAAAGUUCAACACAUGAGAUUUUUACAAUAUACUUAAGAAGGUACCAUCUGGAGGCACUAUACAAUUUUAGUGUAAAUUCCCGGUAUCUCUAUAGUGUCGAGGCACCAGUGCUAUCUCAAGAACCGUAAGUCAUUGUCAAUGCAUUUAUCUUUCAAAUUACGAAGUAGCUUUACAUUUGGAAGACAAGGCCUUAUAUCAUCUACCUCUGUGCUUGCAUAUCCAGGUAAGGACUAUGCAUGUGAGUAGCAGCAUGCAUACUGUUAUCGGAACAACAAUCUUCAGUAACCUGUUUUUCUUUCCAACUGCAGAAAUGUACACCUCAGAUGUUAGUGUUAUGGCAUGGAGCAUAACUUGGAAAGUUAAGUGUUCAUAUAACUACAUUUUUUUAUAGGAACUCUCAUAUAAUAUCAUGAGCAUUGCCACUAUCUGAAAACGAGGCGACAGUGUGAAAUUUUGCUUACCAGGAGGCUCAGCAAGGCGGAGGUACAGGUUCUCACCAAGGCUGGCCUUCUUCUCUGAGUCGACAAGCUCCCCUGUCCAAACCAAGCAUCUUGACGGGUCAGCCAUGGUGCCGCCACUGCUCAAGUUGGCGUAAGCAUAUGCCUUGCAAGAGCAGUUGCUGCUGCACUCGGCCGCGCACUGGUCGAAGCUCCUGUUCCGGAUCUGCAAGAACUUGUCGGG
rnacentral:lncRNA from 1 species